AUCACAGUCCUAUUUCUGCCCUCAAAGACAAAAAUGAUGUCUAGGGCUGGAGAGAUGGCUAAGUGGG
ensembl:miRNA Mir3473 microRNA 3473